rnacentral:rRNA from 1 species
AACGAACGCUGGCGGCAUGCCUAACACAUGCAAGUCGAACGAGACCUUCGGGUCUCGUGGCGCACGUGUGCGUAACGCGUGGGAACCUGCCCUUAGGUUCGGAAUAACUCCCCGACAGGGGUGCUAAUACCGGAUAAUGUCUUCGGACCAAAGGUUUAUCGCCUUUGGAUGGGCCCGCGUUUGAUUAGCUAGUUGGUAGGGUAAAAGCCUACCAAGGCGACGAUCCAUAGCUGGUCUGAGAGGAUGAUCAGCCACACUGGGACUGAGACACGGCCCAGACUCCUACGGGAGGAAGCAGUGGGGAAUAAUGGACAAUGGGCGAAAGCCUGAGCCAGCAAUGCAGCGUGAGUGAUGAAGGACUUAUGGUUGUAAAGAGCGUUUACCCGGGAGGAUAAUGACAGUACAGGGAGAAUAAGCUCCGGCUAACUCCGUG